rnacentral:rRNA from 1 species
GACGCUAAGGCGUUGAAGCAGUGUACGUCAGACUUCCAAGAAAAGCUCGCAAUGUCAUAAAUAAAGAAUGCCUGUACCAUAACCGACACAGGUGGGUAGGUAGAGUAUACUAAGGGGCGCGAGAUAACUCUCUCUAAGGAACUCGGCAAAAUGACUCCGUAACUUCGGGAGAAGGAGUGCCUUAUUUAUAAGGUUGCAAUAACAAGAUCCAAGCAACUGUUUAUCAAAAACACAGGUCUCCGCUAAGUCGUAAGACGAUGUAUGGGGGCUGACGCCUGCCCAGUGCCAGAAGGUUAAAGAAGUUGGUUAGUGUAUGCGAAGCUGAUGACUGAAGCCCUGGUGAACGGCGGCCGUAACGAUAACGGUCCUAAGGUAGCGAAAUUCCUUGUCGGGUAAGUUCCGACCCGCACGAAAGGCGUAAUGAUUUGGAUACUGUCUCGGAGAGAGGCUCGGUGAAAUAGACUUGUCUGUGAAGAUGCGGACUACCUGCACCAGGACAGAAAGACCCUAUGAAGCUUUACUGUAACUUGAAAUUGGAAUUGGACUUUGCUUGCGCAGUAUAGGUGGGAAGCGUUGAAGAUAUUCUUGCGGGAGUAUUGGAGCUAUCAGUGAGAUACCACUCUUGUAAUGUUAGAUUUCUAACUUUGAACCAUAAUCUGGUCAAAGAACAGUUUCAGGUGGGCAGUUUGACUGGGGCGGUCGCCUCCCAAAUGGUAACGGAGGCGUACAAAGGUUUCCUCUGAACGGAUAGAAAUCGUAUCUAGAGUGUAAAGGCAUAAGGAAGCUUGACUGUGAGACCUACAAGUCGAGCAGGGACGAAAGUCGGUCUUAGUGAUCUGACGGUACUGAGUGGAAAGGCCGUCACUCAACGGAUAAAAGUUACUCUAGGAUAACAGGCUGAUCUCCCCCAAGAGUUCACAUCGACGGGGAGGUUUGGCACCUCGAUGUCGGCUCAUCGCAUCCUGGGGCGGUAGUACGUCCCAAGGGUUGGGCUGUUCGCCCAUGAAAGCGGUACGCGAGCUGGGUUCAGAACGUCGUGAGACAGUUCGGUCCAUAUCCGGUGUAGGCGUUAGAAUAUUGAGAGGAGCCUUCUUUAGUACGAGAGGACCGAGAAGGACACACCGCUGGUGUACCAGUUAUCGUGCCAACGGUAAACGCUGGGUAGCUAUGUGUGGAGUGGAUAACCGCUGAAAGCAUCUAAGUGGGAAGCCCACCUCAAGAUGAG